AACGAACGCUGGCGGCGUGCCUAACACAUGCAAGUCGAACGAGAAUUUUCCCUUCGGGGAAAUAGUAAGUGGCGCAAGGGUGAGUAACACGUGAAUAAUCUGCCUACGAAUUCGGGAGUAACGCGGCGAAAGCUGUGCUAAUACCGGAUAAGACCACAUCUCUUCAGGGAUGUGGCCAAAGGAGCCUCAAGCUCCGUUUGUAGAUGAGUUCGCGAACCAUUAGCUUGUUGGCGGGAUAAUAGCCCACCAAGGCGACGAUGGUUAGCCGGCCUGAGAGGGUGAUCGGCCACACUGGAACUGAGACACGGUCCAGACUCCUACGGGAGGCAGCAGUGGGGAAUAUUGCGCAAUGGGCGAAAGCCUGACGCAGCAACGCCGCGUGAGGGAUG
rnacentral:rRNA from 1 species